rnacentral:tRNA from 1 species
GGUGGCUCAGUGGUAGAGUGCGUGGCUUGCAUGCAUGAGACCCUGGGUUCAAUUCCUCAGCACCA